AUGGGAUUAGCCGCUUCAAUGGGAUCUUUUAUCCUAGUCGGAGGAAAAAUUACCAAACGUCUAGCAUUCCCUCACGCUUGGGUAAUGAUCCAUCAACCUUUUGCUGCUUUUUAUGAAGCACAAAUAGGAGAAUUUUUCCUAGAAGCGGAAGAACUACUGAAACUACGCGAAAUCCUCACAAGGGUUUAUGCACAAAGAACAGGCAAACCCUUAUGGGUUGUAUCUGAAGACAUGGAAAGGGAUGUUUUUAUGUCAGCAGCAGAAGCCCAAGUUCAUGGAAUUGUUGAUCUUGUAGCAGUUGCAUAAAAAAUAGCAGGAAUUUCACACAAAUCGCGAUUUGAGAUUUUAGUUUCUUACCGAGGUUUCAUAUUCUAUUUUAAUAUUUUAUUAAAAUAGAAUAUGAAUAUAGAAAGAAUUCAUAAUCAUCCGGUUAGGAUCGAUCUAAACCAGCCCAUUAUGCAUACGAUUCAACAUGCCAACUAUUAAACAACUUAUUAGAAACAAAAGCUAGCCAAUCAGAAAUGUCACCAAAUCCCCCGCUCUCGGGGGAUGCCCUCAGCGCCGAGGGACAUGUACUAGGGUGUAUGUGCGACUCGUUCAGAUUUCAGAUUGUGGGUGGGGACAAAAGAAAGAAUUUUUCCACUAUCCGUGAUCAGUACCGAUGAAUAGGAUAGAAUGGAAGACUCCCCUUCACUAUCUAAAAUGAAAAAAAAAAGAUCUAGAAUAUGCUUCUAUUGUGUAUCAAAUUUAUGGUUUCUAUUGGUGCAAAUUCAAUUACCUCAAUUUUCAAUUGAAAAUGCGAAAGAAUUCCCCAUUGGUAGCAAAUGAUUAUCUGUUAAGCAGGGCAAAUCUUAUUUAAAUUAAAAAGCCGAAAAUGGAUGCCUCUACUCUUGCAAGAACGGACUAACAAGGUCAGCUAAUCAGCUAAUCCACAUAAUUAAAUACCGUUACUGUAAAAACGGAUCUCGUUGUGAAAGACCUACUACUGAGGAAUUCAUGGGUAGAGCCAAAAAGUGUAAACUGUACAAGUUAACAAUAGCAUUGAUUCGAUCAAGUAAGGGGCUCCGGUGUAUAGAGAGGACCUCGCCGUUUAAGAAAUAACCAUAGAAACGAUGGAACCCACUAUUUAUUUAUCCAUUUCUAUUUACUACUUAAUUACUACUUAUUUUUAUUUACUAUAUUUUUGUUAUUUUUGUUUGAUACCUAGUACCAAUAAGAUUUCUUAUUUCAAGGCGAAAUGCUUAUAAAAAAAAAAAAAGAAAAAAUAGUGGUUGGGAAGGUUAGAGUAGCAAAAGCCGUUGGAAUUAUUAUUUUAUACAUUGGAAGAAUCCGUUUUGUUAUUCUAGAAAAGGGAAAAA